AUUGAACGCUGGCGGCAGGCCUAACACAUGCAAGUCGAACGAGUGGAGGAAGGUGAGUAAUGUCUGGGAAACUGCCCGAUGGAGGGGGAUAACUACUGGAAACGGUCGCUAAUACCGCAUACCAUCGGAUGUUCCCAGAUGGGAUUAGCUAGUAGGUGGGGUAACGGCUCACAGAGGCGACGAUCACUAGCUGGUCUGAUAGGAUGUACAGCCACAUUGGAACUGAGACACGGUCCAGACUCCUACGGGAGGCAGCAGUGGGGAAUAUUGCACAAUGGGCGCAAGCCUGAUGGAGCCAUGCCGCGUGUGUGAAGAAGGCGUUCGGGUUGUAAAGGUCUUUCAGCGAGGAGGCGUUACUCGCAGAAGAAGCACCGGCUAACUCCGUGCCAGCAGCCGCGGUAAUAC
rnacentral:rRNA from 1 species